UACAGAGGUCUCGAGCGUUAGGCGGAAUCACUGGGCUUAAAGCGUGUGUAGGUGGAUCGUUAAGUACCUUGUGAAAUCCCACGGCUUAACCGUGGAACUGCUUGGUAUACUGGCGGUCUUGAGUCAGCUAGGGGCUACCGGAACAAAUGGUGGAGCGGUGAAAUGCGUAGAUAUCGUUUGGAACGCCAAAGGUGAAAACAGGUCGCUGGGGAUGAGCUGACGCUG
rnacentral:rRNA from 1 species